rnacentral:rRNA from 1 species
UACGUAGGGGCCUAGCGUUGUCCGGAUUUAUUGGGCGUAAAGAGCUCGUAGGCGGUUCGGCAAGUCGGAUGUGAAAUCUCCACGCUCAACGUGGAGGGGCCAUUCGAAACUGCUGUGACUUGAGUCCGGUAGGGGGUGUGGAAUUCCCGGUGUAGUGGUGGAAUGCGUAGAUAUCGGGAGGAACACCAGUGGCGAAGGCGGCUUCCUGGACCGGUUCUGACACUGAGGAGCGAAAGCGUGGGGAGCGAUCCGG